AGAGUUUGAUCCUGGCUCAGGACGAACGCUGGCGGCGUGCUUAACACAUGCAAGUCGAACGGAAAGGCCCCUUCGGGGGUACUCGAGUGGCGAACGGGUGAGUAACACGUGGGUAAUCUGCCCUGCACAUCGGGAUAAGCCUGGGAAACUGGGUCUAAUACCGAAUAGGACCACGGAACACAUGCUCUGUGGUGGAAAGC
rnacentral:rRNA from 1 species